rnacentral:rRNA from 1 species
UUAAGCGACUAAGCGUACACGGUGGAUGCCCUGGCAGUCAGAGGCGAUGAAGGACGUGCUAAUCUGCGAUAAGCGUCGGUAAGGUGAUAUGAACCGUUAUAACCGGCGAUUUCCGAAUGGGGAAACCCAGUGUGUUUCGACACACUAUCAUUAACUGAAUCCAUAGGUUAAUGAGGCGAACCGGGGGAAUUGAAACAUCUAAGUACCCCGAGGAAAAGAAAUCAACCGAGAUUCCCCCAGUAGCGGCGAGCGAACGGGGAGGAGCCCAGAGCCUGAAUCAGUGUGUGUGUUAGUGGAAGCGUCUGGAAAGGCGCGCGAUACAGGGUGACAGCCCCGUACACAAAAAUGCACAUGCUGUGAGCUCGAUGAGUAGGGCGGGACACGUGGUAUCCUGUCUGAAUAUGGGGGGACCAUCCUCCAAGGCUAAAUACUCCUGACUGACCGAUAGUGAACCAGUACCGUGAGGGAAAGGCGAAAAGAACCCCGGCGAGGGGAGUGAAAAAGAACCUGAAACCGUGUACGUACAAGCAGUGGGAGCACGCUUAGGCGUGUGACUGCGUACCUUUUGUAUAAUGGGUCAGCGACUUAUAUUCUGUAGCAAGGUUAACCGAAUAGGGGAGCCGAAGGGAAACCGAGUCUUAACUGGGCGUUAAGUUGCAGGGUAUAGACCCGAAACCCGGUGAUCUAGCCAUGGGCAGGUUGAAGGUUGGGUAACACUAACUGGAGGACCGAACCGACUAAUGUUGAAAAAUUAGCGGAUGACUUGUGGCUGGGGGUGAAAGGCCAAUCAAACCGGGAGAUAGCUGGUUCUCCCCGAAAGCUAUUUAGGUAGCGCCUCGUGAACUCAUCUCCGGGGGUAGAGCACUGUUUCGGCAAGGGGGUCAUCCCGACUUACCAACCCGAUGCAAACUGCGAAUACCGGAGAAUGUUAUCACGGGAGACACACGGCGGGUGCUAACGUCCGUCGUGAAGAGGGAAACAACCCAGACCGCCAGCUAAGGUCCCAAAGUCAUGGUUAAGUGGGAAACGAUGUGGGAAGGCCCAGACAGCCAGGAUGUUGGCUUAGAAGCAGCCAUCAUUUAAAGAAAGCGUAAUAGCUCACUGGUCGAGUCGGCCUGCGCGGAAGAUGUAACGGGGCUAAACCAUGCACCGAAGCUGCGGCAGCGACGCUUAUGCGUUGUUGGGUAGGGGAGCGUUCUGUAAGCCUGUGAAGGUGUGCUGUGAGGCAUGCUGGAGGUAUCAGAAGUGCGAAUGCUGACAUAAGUAACGAUAAAGCGGGUGAAAAGCCCGCUCGCCGGAAGACCAAGGGUUCCUGUCCAACGUUAAUCGGGGCAGGGUGAGUCGACCCCUAAGGCGAGGCCGAAAGGCGUAGUCGAUGGGAAACAGGUUAAUAUUCCUGUACUUGGUGUUACUGCGAAGGGGGGACGGAGAAGGCUAUGUUGGCCGGGCGACGGUUGUCCCGGUUUAAGCGUGUAGGCUGGUUUUCCAGGCAAAUCCGGAAAAUCAAGGCUGAGGCGUGAUGACGAGGCACUACGGUGCUGAAGCAACAAAUGCCCUGCUUCCAGGAAAGCCUCUAAGCAUCAGGUAACAUCAAAUCGUACCCCAAACCGACACAGGUGGUCAGGUAGAGAAUACCAAGGCGCUUGAGAGAACUCGGGUGAAGGAACUAGGCAAAAUGGUGCCGUAACUUCGGGAGAAGGCACGCUGAUAUGUAGGUGAAGCGACUUGCUCGUGGAGCUGAAAUCAGUCGAAGAUACCAGCUGGCUGCAACUGUUUAUUAAAAACACAGCACUGUGCAAACACGAAAGUGGACGUAUACGGUGUGACGCCUGCCCGGUGCCGGAAGGUUAAUUGAUGGGGUCAGCGCAAGCGAAGCUCUUGAUCGAAGCCCCGGUAAACGGCGGCCGUAACUAUAACGGUCCUAAGGUAGCGAAAUUCCUUGUCGGGUAAGUUCCGACCUGCACGAAUGGCGUAAUGAUGGCCAGGCUGUCUCCACCCGAGACUCAGUGAAAUUGAACUCGCUGUGAAGAUGCAGUGUACCCGCGGCAAGACGGAAAGACCCCGUGAACCUUUACUAUAGCUUGACACUGAACAUUGAGCCUUGAUGUGUAGGAUAGGUGGGAGGCUUUGAAGUGUGGACGCCAGUCUGCAUGGAGCCGACCUUGAAAUACCACCCUUUAAUGUUUGAUGUUCUAACGUUGACCCGUAAUCCGGGUUGCGGACAGUGUCUGGUGGGUAGUUUGACUGGGGCGGUCUCCUCCUAAAGAGUAACGGAGGAGCACGAAGGUUGGCUAAUCCUGGUCGGACAUCAGGAGGUUAGUGCAAUGGCAUAAGCCAGCUUGACUGCGAGCGUGACGGCGCGAGCAGGUGCGAAAGCAGGUCAUAGUGAUCCGGUGGUUCUGAAUGGAAGGGCCAUCGCUCAACGGAUAAAAGGUACUCCGGGGAUAACAGGCUGAUACCGCCCAAGAGUUCAUAUCGACGGCGGUGUUUGGCACCUCGAUGUCGGCUCAUCACAUCCUGGGGCUGAAGUAGGUCCCAAGGGUAUGGCUGUUCGCCAUUUAAAGUGGUACGCGAGCUGGGUUUAGAACGUCGUGAGACAGUUCGGUCCCUAUCUGCCGUGGGCGCUGGAGAACUGAGGGGGGCUGCUCCUAGUACGAGAGGACCGGAGUGGACGCAUCACUGGUGUUCGGGUUGUCAUGCCAAUGGCACUGCCCGGUAGCUAAAUGCGGAAGAGAUAAGUGCUGAAAGCAUCUAAGCACGAAACUUGCCCCGAGAUGAGUUCUCCCUGACUCCUUGAGAGUCCUGAAGGAACGUUGAAGACAACGACGUUGAUAGGCCGGGUGUGUAAGCGCAGCGAUGCGUUGAGCUAACCGGUACUAAUGAACCGUGAGGCUUAACCUU